UACGUAGGGGGCAAGCGUUGUCCGGAAUCAUUGGGCGUAAAGCGCGUGUAGGCGGCUCGAUAAGUCUGCUGUGAAAGCCCAGGGCUCAACCCUGGGAUGCCGGUGGAUACUGUCGAGCUCGAGUCCGGAAGAGGCGAGUGGAAUUCCUGGUGUAGAGGUGAAAUUCGUAGAUAUCAGGAGGAACACCGGUGGCGAAGGUGGCCUUCUGGACGGUAACUGACGCUGAGACGCGAAAGCGUGGGGAGCAAACAGG
rnacentral:rRNA from 1 species